GCGACGCCGUCCACUCGACGUAUCAGGCUCUGCAGGACAAGAUCCAGGCUCACCAGCCGAGCCCCGAGCCGCCACCCGACGCUCUAGCAUCGCCGCUGAUGGCCAUGCCGACGCCCGCUCAUAUAUGAACGCGCGCGCGUGAUCGAGCCUUCGGCGCACCAUCUCGCAGAGUAGUUCACAGAGUGUUGCAGUAGUAUUGCAUCAUCUAGCAAAGUGUUGCAGAGUAUUGCAGAGUAUGGCAGUACUGACUGUAGUCUUGCAGAGUAUUGCAGUAAGUAUUGCAGUAGUAUUGCAGUAGUCUUGCAGUAGUUGAGUUGUAGACUGACUACAUUGUAUUGUAUCACACACACACACACACACAAGUAAUAAUAUAUUACAUUUAUACUACAUUGUACUGUAUAUAUCGCGUGAGUGACUUAUUGUAAUACGUUAUAAUAUGUUCCGCAAAUGAUUGUUAGUGUAGGUUCAGAAUGAAUAUAUUUUGUUAGGGAUUUUAAAAUUCAAUGUAAUUCUCUGGUAUAGAAACUAUGAACAAAACGUGGUCUUAUUUGUACACUUACAGCAAAAGCUUUAUUUCUCAGCCAUUUUGGUGUAAAUGUAUAACUAUAAAAGAAACUUUAGCAUUAAAGUAAUGAGAUCAAACCUCUUCUUAAACGUAUCACAAUUUAAUAAACACGCGAAAUGCCAUUAUUAUAAAAAUACUUCACGAAAAUGUAAUACAAAUCAGAUUCAAAAUCAUGUUGGCAUAAUGGUAAAAGAACAUGUUCAAUCGUGUAAAUAUAAAACCUGAGAAUAAGACAAGUCCGUAAAACGUGUAAAAUAUUUUGUUAAAUAAAAACGUUUGUUUAAAAAAUCUA